rnacentral:rRNA from 1 species
UACGAAGGGGGCUAGCGUUGUUCGGAUUUACUGGGCGUAAAGCGCACGUAGGCGGAUUGUUAAGUGAGGGGUGAAAUCCCAGGGCUCAACCCUGGAACUGCCUUUCAUACUGGCAAUCUUGAGUCCGGAAGAGGUGAGUGGAACUCCUAGUGGUGAGAGGUGGAAUUCGUAGAUGAUUAGGAAGAACACCAGUGGCGAAGGCGGCUCACUGGUCCGGUACU